UUGUUGUUGUGUAUACGUUAUUACAUUGAGACCCUAUUUAUAGACACUAGAAUACAAUCCUUUACCAAGUAGGAUACUAUUUACUAUUCAUAUUCCUAUUCUAAAUAGGAUUGUAUAAACCUAUUCCUAUUCUAAUAAGAUUGUGUAAACCAAUUCCUAUUCUAAUAGGAUUGUAUAAACCUAUUCAUAUUCUAACACUCCCCCUCAAGCUAGUGCAUACGAUUCAUGUACCUAGCUUGUUACAUAUGUAAUUAAUAUGAGGACCAAUGAGGGGCUUGGUGAGAUACAUGCAAGUUGAUCAGUCGACUUCACAAAAUUGACAAUCAAUCUCAAUGUGCUUGUCUUCUCAUUAAAUACUGGAUUUGAUGCAUAAUGCCGAUAAAACACAGAGUGAUUUACAGUGUUGAACUUCCCAAACCAACUUGCAAAGACUAUUUCAGACCAUAGAGUGACUCACAUAAUCGACAUACAAGACUACUAAACUCCCCUUGAGCAACAAAGAGCUCAAAAUCUAGUAUAAAGUAUGUGGAUCAUGUUGGAAUCAAUAGAUAAGUCGAUAUUAAACAAGAAAGUCACCGAAAAAUUGGUCGGCACAUGCUCAUACGCGGGAGAGUUAGAUUUGAUGGUUGAAAGUGGUCACAAUCUAAGAAAUAAAAUUAUAUGGGUAGGGUCGGAAUGAUGUCACGACCCAACUAGAAAAUAGAAAUUAUAUAGGAUAGUUCGAAUUGAUGGAACGACCCCAUUGAAAAAGAGAAAUAAUAAUGGGUAGGGUCGGAAUGAUGGCACGACCCUACUGAAAAAGAAAAUUAUACGGGUAGGUUGGAAUGAUGGCUCAACCCUACGCAAAUCAGAUUUGAGGAGUCACCGGAAAGACGAAUGGAACUAUGCAAAUCAAAUCUGAGGAGUCACUGAAAAGCACAUGAUGCUAUGCAACUCAGAUAUGAGAAAAUAGUUCGGAAAAAUCCACGGUACUACACAAUUAUAUAUAAAAAGUAGUCCGGAGAGAUGCACGGUGCUACGCAAAUCAGAUAUGCAAAAAAGAUAGUCAUCGGAAGAAUGGCACGGUGCUACACUAAUUAUAUAUAAAAUUGUAGUCACUGGAAUGAUGGCACAGUGCUACACAAACUAGAUAUGAAAAGUAGUCACCAGAAAGAUCGCACUGUGCUAUACAAAUUAAAUAUGAAAAAGUAGUCACCGAAAUGAUGGCACAGUGCUACAAAAAUUAAAUAUGAAAAAGUAGUCACCGGAAUGAUGGCACGGUGCUACACAAAUUAGAUAUAACAAAGUAGUCACCGGAAUGAUGGCACGGUGCUACACAAAUUAGAUAUAACAAAGUAGUCACCGGAAUGAUGGCACGGUGCUACACAAAUUAGAUAUAACAAAGUAGUCACCGGAAUGAUGGCACGGUGCUACACAAAUUAGAUAUAACAAAGUAGUCACCGGAAUGAUGACACGGUGCUACACAAAUUAGAUAUGAGAUAAUAGUCACCAGAAAGAUACAUGGUAACCCAACUUUUGCUAACAUAAUCAUUGGCUAGACGAGCAGCAUAUAUGGGUGCCACCCACCGGCAGUGGAAGUUCGGAGAAUGAUGGCACGGUGCUUACAUAAAUUAAAUAUGAGAAAAUAGUCACCGGAAAGAUACACGGUGACCCAUCUUUUGCCAACAUAAUUGUUGGCCAGACGGGCAACAUAUAUGGGUAAUGGCCACCCGCUAGCAGCGGAAGCUCUUUGAUUUUCUACCAAGAUCGUAGAGACUCUGAUACCAUGUGAGAAAUAUAGGAAAAGAAUAUUAUUGAAUUGUUAUUGUAUCUACAUUAUUACAUUGAGACCCUAUUUAUAGACACUAGAAUAUAAUCCUUUACCAAGUAGGAUACUAUUUACUAUUCAUAUUCCUAUUUGUAUUCAUAUUCCUAUUCUAAAUAGGAUUGUAUAAACCUAUUCCUAUUCUAAUAAGAUUGUGUAAACCAAUUCCUAUUCUAAUAGGAUUGUAUAAACCUAUUCAUAUUCUAACAGAUACCAUACAUGAGGGGAGGACUAUA
rnacentral:lncRNA from 1 species